rnacentral:rRNA from 1 species
CAGUAGCCGCGGUAAGACAGAGGGUGCGAGCGUUAAUCGGAUUUACUGGGCGUAAAGCGUGCGUAGGCGGCUUUUUAAGUCGGAUGUGAAAUCCCUGAGCUUAACUUAGGAAUUGCAUUCGAUACUGUGAAGCUAGAGUAUGGGAGAGGAUGGUAGAAUUCCAGGUGUAGCGGUGAAAUGCGUAGAGAUCUGUAGGAAUACCGAUGGCGAAGGCAGCCAUCUGGCCUAAUACUGACGCUGAGGUACGAAAGCAUGGGGAGCAAACAGGAUUAGAUACCCGAGUAGUCCCUGUCUCUUAUAC